UCCGUAGGUGGCGAGCGUUGUCCGGAUUUAUUGGGCGUAAAGCGCGCGCAGGUGGUUCGCUAAGUCCGGUGUGAAAUCUCCCGGCUCACCUGGGAGGGGGCGCUGGAGACUGGCGAACUGGAGGCAGGCAGAGGUCGGUGGAAUUCCCGGUGUAGUGGUGAAAUGCGUAGAGAUCGGGAGGAACACCAGUGGCGAAGGCAGCUCGCUGGAACGGUACUGACGCUGAGGCGCGAAAGCGUGGGGAGCAAACAGG
rnacentral:rRNA from 1 species